GCGUGAGUGAUGACGGCCUUAGGGUUGUAAAGCUCUUUUACCUGGGAAGAUAAUGACGGUACCAGGAGAAUAAGCCCCGGCUAACUUCGUGCCAGCAGCCGCGGUAAUACGAAGGGGGCUAGCGUUGUUCGGAUUUACUGGGCGUAAAGGGCGCGUAGGCGGGCGAUUAAGUCAGGGGUGAAAUCCCACAGCUCAACUGUGGAACUGCCUUUGAUACUGGUUGUCUUGAGUCCGGGAGAGGUGAGUGGAACUGCGAGUGUAGAGGUGAAAUUCGU
rnacentral:rRNA from 1 species